UACGUAGGGAGCAAGCGUUGUCCGGAAUCAUUGGGCGUAAAGCGCGCGUAGGUGGCCUCAUAAGUCCGUUGUGAAAGUCAAAGGCUCAACCUUUGAAAGCCGAUGGAUACUGUGAGACUAGAGUACGGAAGAGGCGAGUGGAAUUCCUGGUGUAGCGGUGGAAUGCGCAGAUAUCAGGAGGAACACCCGUGGCGAAGGCGGCUCUCUGGAACGCAACUGACGCUGAGACGCGAAAGCGUGGGGAGCAAACAGG
rnacentral:rRNA from 1 species